rnacentral:rRNA from 1 species
AUUGAACGCUGGCGGCAGGCCUAACACAUGCAAGUCGAACGAGUGGCGGACGGGUGAGUACUGUCUGGGAAACUGCCCGAUGGAGGGGGAUAACUACUGGAAACGGUAGCUAAUACCGCAUCCCAUCGGAUGUGCCCAGAUGGGAUUAGCUAGUAGGUGGGGUACCGGCUCACCCAGUCGAAGAUCCCUAGCUGGUCUGAGAGGAUGACCAGCCACAAUGGAACUGAGACACGGUCCAGACUCCUACGGGAGGCAGCAGUGGGGAGUAUUGCACAAUGGGCGCAAGCCUGAUGCAGCCAUGCAGCGUGUAUGAAGAAGGCCGUCGGGUUGUAAAGUACUUUCAGCGAGGAGGCGUUACUCGCAGAAGAAGCACCGGCGAACUCCGUGCCAGCAGCCGCGGUAAUUC